rnacentral:tRNA from 1 species
GCGGGUAUGGUAUAGUGGCUAUCACCUCAGCCUUCCAAGCUGAUGACGCGGGUUCGAUUCCCGCUACCCGCUCCA